rnacentral:rRNA from 1 species
AAGCAUAAGCCAUGCACGUCUAAGUACAAACUAAAUGAUGGUGAAACUGCAAAUGGCUCAUUACAACGGUUAUGAUGUACCCGGGAGUUCCGAUGGAUAUUUCCAGUAACACUAGAACUAAUACAUGUCCCUGCGUUUAUUAGUUUCGCACAGUCCGUCGCUGAGUCAUGGUAAACAGUUGAUCGACUCGACGUCCCGGAACAGUUUCCGCCCCAUCAGCUUCGAUGGUUGGGUAUUGGCCUACCAUUGCAACAACGGGUAACGAGGAAUUAGGGUUUGAUUUCGGAGAGGGAGCCUGAGAAACGGCUACCACAUCUACGGAUGGCAGCAGGCGCGCAAAUUACCCAAUGCAGACACUGUGAGGUAGUGACGAGAGAUAAUAAAGCGGGACUUCUGUUUCGCUAUUAUAAUGAGGAAUAACCAAAGGUCAUUCCGAUUAGCAACUGAUGGGAAAGUCUGGUGCCAGCAGCCGCGGUAAUACCAGCGUCAGUAGCAUAUAUUAAAAUUGUUGCAGUUAAAACGUCCGUAGUCUGUACGUCGUCCCAAACUCACUGCAGUCUUCCGUUUUCUUAAUUGAAUGCGGUAGUUUCUGCAGUCACUUCCUUGAUCAAAUUAGGUUGUUCAAGGUAGACCAAGUCUUCAUAUUUUCACAUGGGAAUUGGGUGAGGGAACUUAAGAGUUUAAGUUUCUCGUCUUANGAUCAUCCGGGGUCAUUCGUACUCGUCCGCGAGAGGUGAAAUUCUUGGACCGGACGAAGACGACCAGCAGCGAAAGCAUCUGUCAGGGAUGUUUUCUGCGACAAAGGACGAAGGUCAGGGUAUCGAAGACGAUUAGAUACCGUCGUANUCCUGACUGUAAACUAUGCCAAUUUGGGUCUUUGCUGGGCGAUGCUUUGUGAGACCCACAC